rnacentral:SRP_RNA from 1 species
CAGAGGUGGAAUGCAGCAGCCCCCAGCCAGGCCUCGUGG